rnacentral:rRNA from 1 species
UACGUAGGGGGCAAGCGUUGUCCGGAUUUAUUGGGCGUAAAGAGCGUGUAGGCGGCUAGGUAGGUCCGUUGUGAAAACUCGAGGCUCAACCUCGAGACGCCGAUGGAAACCAUCUGGCUAGAGUCCGGAAGAGGAGAGUGGAAUUCCUGGUGUAGCGGUGAAAUGCGCAGAUAUCAGGAGGAACACCAAUGGCGAAGGCAGCUCGCUGGGACGGUACUGACGCUGAGACGCGAAAGCGUGGGGAGCAAACAGG